rnacentral:lncRNA from 1 species
CUAUUGAAAAUAUUACGACACUAAUUUGAGUUGUCUCAAUUAACGGUUUGAUCAUUAUUGAGUUUAACUUUCUCCAAUCAAUAACCCCAUUAAUGACUUAAAUUACUUUUGAACACCACAAGAAUUGGUACUUCUCAUCCCGUGCAUCAUAAUCCACGUAUACAAACUGCAGAGAGCGCUAAAAUAGAGAAGAUGAGAAAAUUUCAUAAAACGAUUGGGAGGGUCAUUACAUCAGAUACCAAUUAAAAAACCGUUCAUCCCCGAACGGGAAAACAAAAGACAAUGAGGGAAAACAAGAAAUUACUAAAAUCAUCAAAAAGAUAUGGAUACUUUCUAUGCAUAUCUUCUUCGGUGUAACAAGUGGCCUCCUUAAUAGGACGGUUCAUCUAAUUGACCUUCACAGACAUAAUAUCCUUAGUCCUUAACUUACAGACAACCAAAUACCUAGCCGAGCCUAUGCGUACCCUCACCGCCCCUGAUUCAGAAGGUUCAAUUAGCAUAUAACAACACAAGGCAUAUUCUUCACCCAUAUAUAUAUAUAUAUAUAUAUAUGCAACUGUUCUAUACCGGCUGAUAAAUAUAGGUGCAUACUGGUGAUAGGAGAUGAGCAUGCAAGAAUGAAUGCAAAGUACAAAAUUAAUAUCACAACUUAUCAUAACUGUCCUCAAUAGGACUAUCAUCAUUGUAAUCAUUCUUUGGCUUGCCGGAUAUCAACACAUCAUCAAUAGUAUCAUCCGGCCUUGCCGGGUAUCAACAUAUCAUAAGUAUAUCUUCCGUCCUUGCCGAGUAUCAACAUCAUCACAACAGUAUCCACCAGCCCUGCCAGCUAUUAACAUAUUAUCAUAAUAGUCAUUACUGAAUAACAUACACUAAAAUACUCAUAAAAAUAGUCAUAUCACCAUAUAAUAUCUAUUUAAUCAAUAUUUCUCAACUACUCGUUAUUA